GACGAACGCUGGCGGCGUGCCUAAUACAUGCAAGUCGAACGCUUUUUCUUUCACCGGAGCUUGCUCCACCGAAAGAAAAAGAGUGGCGAACGGGUGAAUAACACGUGGGUAACCUGCCCAUCAGAAGGGGAUAACACUUGGAAACAGGUGCUAAUACCGUAUAACACUAUUUUCCGCAUGGAAGAAAGUUGAAAGGCGCUUUUGCGUCACUGAUGGAUGGACCCGCGGUGCAUUAGCUAGUUGGUAAGGUAGCGGCUCACCAAGGCAACGAUGCAUAGCCGACCUGAGAGGGUGAUCGGCCACACUGGGACUGAGACACGGCCCAGACUCCUACGGGAGGUAGCAGUAGGGAAUCUUCGGCAAUGGACGAAAGUCUGACCGAGCAACGCCGCGUGAGUGAAGAAGGUUUUCGGAUCGUAAAACUCUGUUGUUAGAGAAGAACAAGGAUGAGAGUAAAACGUUCAUCCCUUGACGGUAUCUAACCAGAAAGCCACGGCUAACUACGUGCCAGCAGCCGCGGUAA
rnacentral:rRNA from 1 species